rnacentral:rRNA from 1 species
CAAGCCCUGGAAACGGGGUCUAAUACCGGAUAUGAUCACCGGCCGCAUGGUCUGGUGGUGGAAAGCUCCGGCGGUGCAGGAUGAGCCCGCGGCCUAUCAGCUUGUUGGUGGGGUGAUGGCCUACCAAGGCGACGACGGGUAGCCGGCCUGAGAGGGCGACCGGCCACACUGGGACUGAGACACGGCCCAGACUCCUACGGGAGGCAGCAGUGGGGAAUAUUGCACAAUGGGCGAAAGCCUGAUGCAGCGACGCCGCGUGAGGGAUGACGGCCUUCGGGUUGUAAACCUCUUUCAGCAGGGAAGAAGCCUUUACGGGUGACGGUACCUGCAGAAGAAGCACCGGCUACUACGUGCCAGCAGCCGCGGUAAUACGUAGGGUGCGAGCGUUGUCCGGAAUUAUUGGGCGUAAAGAGCUCGUAGGCGGCGUGUCACGUCGGAUGUGAAAGCCCGGGGCUUAACCCCGGGUCUGCAUUCGAUACGGGCAGGCUAGAGUUCGGUAGGGGAGAUCGGAAUUCCUGGU